AUGCUAUAUUGAAGAUGGCGGCGUCCAUCAGUCCUAAUAGAAUAUAAUAUAGUUUUGCAUUGUUGGCUUGCAGAUGAAAUUCACAAUUAUUUGUACAGUGCAUCAUCCCAGUCUACAGCUGGAUAUAAUCGACAAAACUAAGCAAGCAUCACUACAAUGCAAACCAUUAUAAUAAACAGGACUGCCACAAGGUUAACAGAUUCUGUUACCAAGAAUAUUGAAACAUUUAUGAUAACAUUUUUUAUAUAUUUAUUUUCUUUCUUUCUUUUAGCAAUAACAAAAAUUUUAGGAUAAUUAAAAUGAUGACAUAUUAUUUAAAUAUUGUAAUUUAAAAAUUAAUUAACAUACUUUGAUUUUUUCAGCUGAUCCUGAUUUUCUGAAUAUCCCUUCUACGAGCAUACCAUUUUCCUCAAUGAAUUGAACCAUCUAACAAAAGAUACAGAGCUCUAUUAGUGUGGUUAAAGUUUUCAAAAAGUUUUAAUGGACUAAAAAAAACAACACAAUAUUGUUUGGAAAAAUUCAAUAGGUUGCAGAUUUAUAAAUACAAAAAAUAAAAUGCUAAUUGUCAGACUGUGAUCAUAGUAUGGCUGAAGUUGCUUAUGUAGAGAGAGGCUCUCAUUUGAGAAAGAAACAAAAUUGAUUAGACAAAAUUAUAUCUUUUAAACCACUGAUGCUGAUCAGUUAAAAGACAAUUUAAACUACUUUCCUUCAAAGUUUGUAUCAAAUCAGCUGAAUUGAUAGAUUACUCUUUUUUCUUACCAAAUAAAAAUAACAUAGAAACUAAACUCACCAAUAAAAAUAACAUAGAAACUAAACUCACCAAUGAAAAUACAGCUGGAACUUUCAGAUCAGAAACAAGUCUAUUUUUCUUAAUAUCCUUUGCAACAAGUACUUCAAGUGCUGUCCCAAAUAGUCCACUAUCUGCAGACAAAAUUGUUCACAAUACUUAUUGAGUUUAUAAAAUAGAGCUAUUGAGAGCUUAGACAAGAAUGCAAUUGUUUUUUAACAAUAUAUUAUAAAGAGAGAUCUUGGUAUUUGAUGUUUAGGGUUUUUUGGCACAAUUUAGGCCAUGCAAUGCCCAUGAUCCCUAAAGGGUUACUUCCUCUUUAAAGGUUAAGUGCUUAAAUUUACACAACUAAGUUAUUAAUAUAAAGUACACUCACAACUGAAAUAGUAAAAAUUUUUAUAAUCUAAUAAAAAUAUGUUGUAAAUAUGUAUAUAUUUAUAAGAGUUUGUGUUUUUGGCACAUCGGCACAAUUUAGGCCAUGCAGUGCCCAUAAUCCUUCAAGGAUUACUCUCCCUUCAUUUCACCAGAGCUAAAUUCCAUACAGUUAAAUCAUUAAAAGCAGGGUUUAUUCACAGUUAAAAUAGUAAAGUUAGUAAAAAUUUAAUAAAGAUCUUUUGUAAAUAUUACAUGUUCACAAUUACACAAAUCAAACCUUUGCAGACAACCCCACCUCCUGGACAAAGCCCAGUACCUUCCCAGGUCAACACUAUUGAACAGUGUUUUUAAGUUAAGUGCUCUAAAUAAUUUUCCCUUAAUAUCCUGGUAUCUGGGGCAAUCGAUGAGGAUAUGUUCCACAGUGAGAAGAGAGUCACAGUACUCACAAAGUGGGGCUCCUCUCCCUGGAUAAAGCCCAGUAUAUAUAUUCAUUAACAGAGUAACACCAGACAAGGUGUAUCUAUUAAAAUAAUGAUUAAAAAUUUGUUUUGGUUAAAUUCUCGUUUAUUAAGAACAAACCUGUAGUUCGUUUCUUUGCCUUCGUCUUUGUGUAUGCAAUAUUGCGCUUCUUCAAUAAUAGUUUCAGUUCCUCAUAUGCAACAUUUUUUAUUCGUUCAGCAUCUUCUUCAUUAAGGUCAGAUA